GAUGAACGCUGACAGAAUGCUUAACACAUGCAAGUCUACUUAAACUUCGGUUUGGGUGGCGGACGGGUGAGUAACGCGUAAAGAACUUGCCUCACAGUUAGGGACAACAUUUGGAAACGAAUGCUAAUACCUGAUAUUAUGAUUUUAGGGCAUCCUAAGAUUAUGAAAGCUAUAUGCGCUGCGAGAGAGCUUUGCGUCCCAUUAGCUAGUUGGAGAGGUAACGGCUCACCAAGGCGAUGAUGGGUAGCCGGCCUGAGAGGGUGAACGGCCACAAGGGGACUGAGACACGGCCCUUACUCCUACGGGAGGCAGCAGUGGGGAAUAUUGGACAAUGGACCAAAAGUCUGAUCCAGCAAUUCUGUGUGCACGAUGACGUUUUUCGGAAUGUAAAGUGCUUUCAGUUGGGAAGAAAAAAAUGACGGUACCAACAGAAGAAGUGACGGCUAAAUACGUGCCAGCAGCCGCGGUAAUACGUAUGUCACAAGCGUUAUCCGGAUUUAUUGGGCGUAAAGCGCGUCUAGGUGGUUAUGUAAGUCUGAUGUGAAAAUGCAGGGCUCAACUCUGUAUUGCGUUGGAAACUGCAUGACUAGAGUACUGGAGAGGUAAGCGGAACUACAAGUGUAGAGGUGAAAUUCGUAGAUAUUUGUAGGAAUGCCGAUGGGGAAGCCAGCUUACUGGACAGAUACUGACGCUAAAGCGCGAAAGCGUGGGUAGCAAACAGG
rnacentral:rRNA from 1 species